UUCAAAAUUUAUUAUUCAUAUUUAAAAUUAUAAUUAUACGUCAUAUUUAAAGAUAUCAAACAUAAAUAAACCAAGUUCAAAUUUUAUUUAAGUUCCAUAUAACUGUUGAGAAAUCAUUUUUCGAUCUAUCAUAGUGACACGAAGAAAGUUGUAUUGUAACUAUGAAAACAUUUCGAACGUGACAUAUCCCUCGGGAUACGGUAAGAAAACUCAUGACAUUCUCAUCCAAUGACGAAAUGAUCCUAUGCUAUUACAGGAGUGACAGAAGAUAGAGAGCGCAAAAGUGAAAUGGUUGAAGCGAGAUGAAGAGAAGAAAGAUGAAAAGAGAGAAAUCAAGUAGAUAGAGAGAGAAGAGGCAAGAGGGUGGGUUUCGUUAGGUUGGGCGCAGUUUUGAUGAUAACGAGCGGAUUUGCAAUCACGACUACAUUGUGCAGGAUCCUGCUGUUAGCUAACUUGAAGAGGGAUGAAACUCAGACGGGCUGAGAUCACAGAGCAGGAAGCUGAGAGCGCGAGGAUGAGAGAUACAUUGGGGAAGCUGCUAUAGUCGCCUAUAUACUCCUUUCCAGUCCCUCGUUCCAUCCUGUUCCUUCUUCGACUUUACCAUGCUUCUCUGAAAGUGGAAAUCCCAAAAUUACAGGACUAUACCGUAGUGAUACAGUUGCAGGCCUCUGUACUACCUGUACAUAAAUAUCUCGCGAAAUUUCCGGUUGUGAAGCAAUUCCUUGAAUUCGCGCAGACGUGCCGUGGAUAUGCUAACGAAGCCAAUACAAGACUAGGUCGAGGCCAGGUUUAUCAGUGUUCCCUUUAAACUCAAGUGUUCCGUGUGAAGGUAUCCAAGAAAGAAAGUCGGUUAUGGUGUGGUCGGAUUUUGACAACAGUGCGUGUUUGCACAGCAGGUGGUUACCAAUGCGAGUGACAUGUCAGACUGCUUUUUCGAAUUUGUAUUCUUUUAUAAGGUAUCGAGGGCUGUAUGCGACAAUGUAUCCCCUCGAUUUUGAAUGUGAACAGGUCUCUGCGACCACUUUUAUCAUGAUAAUUCCGCCUGAACGUUGGAAAAUUUCUCGAAAAAUGUUUGAAGAGAAACCGCAAGUUUUGGACUCUUUCCCAGCAUGUUGAAUAUUCGGUAGAAAAUGGGAAACUUUUUAAACAUGAUUUACAUUUCCUCGUUUCUCACGAUUUUCACAUCUUUUUUUAUUUUGUCAAUGUUAU